UUCAUCGUACACAAUGCCAUU
ensembl:piRNA 21ur-12995 ncRNA